rnacentral:lncRNA from 1 species
UUGACAUCAGUUUAAUUUUAUUUCAUAAUCAACUAAAUAUUUCAAAUAAAAUAAUUACAUUAAGAAAAAGCCUCCAGUUUUUGUUUUAAUUUCAUGUUUUAUACAUUGCACAUUUACAACAUACUCAUUUUGAUUAUUUCAUAACUUGGUGAGGGAAGAGGUAAUAAUUCUUUCAGAUGGUUAAAUACACCAGAGGAUUUCUGCUCUCAUUUUCGUUAUUUGAGAGAGAUGAAGCAGUUUUUAGUCUCAACAAAUUCUACACAAAAACCAUAUACUUUGCUUACCUCGCAUUCAUGAGAUCAUUUUUCUUCACAGAAAAUCCCAGUGUUCA